rnacentral:rRNA from 1 species
GAUGAACGCUGGCGGCGCGCCUAACACAUGCAAGUCGAACGGAGGCAAGAGGAGCUUGCUUUUCUUGACUUAGUGGCGAACGGGUGAGUAACGCGUGGGUAACCUGCCUAGGAGUGGGGGACAACAGCUGGAAACGACUGCUAAUACCGCAUAAGCCUACGAACCUGCUUGGUCCUGAGGGAAAAGGAUUUUUUCGCUCUAGUAUGGACUCGCGUCCACUUAGCUAGUUGGUUGGGAAACGGCCCACCAAGGCGGCGAAUGGUAGCCGGGCUGAGAGGUUGAACGGCCACAUUGAGACUAAGCCACAGCACAGACUCCUACGCGAGGCGGGAGUGGGGGAUAUUGCACAAUGGGGGAAACCCUGAUGGAGCGACGCCGCGUGGAGGAAGAAGGUUGUCGGAUUGAAAUCUCCUGGCAUCAGUGACGAUAUUGACGGUACCUAACAAGAAAGCACCAGCUAACUACGUG